GUAUUCGGAGGAUGCACUGCGACUAUCCUUCGCGGCCUACCAUAUCCCAAGAUUCUUUGCGCGCCUUUGUUGAGCCCGGAUCUUUUUAAACGAUGGCAGCAAACUCAAACAGCGGCAGCAGCACCGAAUACACUUUCAAAUGGAGCAAGGAGCAAACGGAGGAAUUUAUAAAACUCAGGGGUGAAAACGACCACCUUUUCACAGGGGCCAAAAAUACGGCCACACUCGGAUGGAGAACAGUCCUUCAAAAAAUGGGCCUGGAGGGGAAAGUGGAGCCUCAACAGGCAAAAAAAAAGUGAGACAACCUAAAAAAAAAAAUAUAAAGUAUGUGCAGGUUUGGAUAAUGAUAUGGAAACUACAUUUGUUUUACCCAAGUUAAUACUUUGAUAAAGAAAUGUAGAAAAAACUCCAAGGCACUCUCACAUAGUUGUUAAAAUGCCUUUAUUCUUUAUUCCUUGAAUCUGUUUAACUUCCUGAUGAAGACUUGAUGCCGAAACGUGUCGAAGGACUGUGUUUUUAAGGUUUAUAUGACCAUGGUGUAAGAAUAAAGGCAUUUUAACUGCUUUGGGAGAGUGCCUUGGAGUUUUUUCUUCGUUUCUUUAUCACCACAUGAAUCCCAUUCCAAAGAGCACCUCAAACAUACCUCUUUUUGAGUCCAUGAUGCCCUCCUUUUCAAGACUUUUUUUAAUAAAUACUUUGCAGAAAAUUGCUGCCGUUGUGAUUGAUUUCCUCUGCCUUAGGAAUGCAAAGAUCCAGGGACAGGGCAGGGGGUUGCCCUGCUGCCACCUGGCCCUGGUUUGUCCUCAUGGAUGAGGUUUUAGGACAGAGGCCUUCCAUUUCCCCUCCUGUCCUAAUUGCCUCCAUUCCUUAGGACACACCAGGGUCAGGUGCUGCAGUGGGUGAGCAGCAUGAGGAGGAGGAUGAGGAGGAUGAGGAGAGGCAGCCAGGGCCAGCGACAGGAGGGACAAGAAAGAGAAGAAGGGAAAGAGAGGAUGAAUUGUUGGAGCUUAUGAGAGAAGACAUGCAGUUGCAGAGGGAGGCCGAGGAGAGGAGGGAAAGAGAGAGCCGGGAGAGAAUGGACAGACUUUUUAAUUUACUAGAGAGGAUGGUUGAGAGGCGGUGAUUCUUUAUUAGCUUUUUUUUUUUCCUGUUCAAUUAAGUUUUAUGCGUUGCUGUUUCUUGUUUUCAAAUGUUAAUUUAAAAUGUUGUAUAGUUAUAGUUGUUAAUUAAAAAUAUUGUAUAGUUGUUCCAUUAUCUUUUUCAAAUGUUGUAUAUAGUUAAAUUAAAGUCUUGUAAUCAUUAUCCGUUCCAUUUCUUAUUUACAACUAGAGUAAACUUUUGAACUACUUUUCAGUGACAACACAAUUUAUUUUUUUCUCAUAACUAUUUACAAAUGAUCAGCAGAAAAUUAUGAAACACAUUGCUAACCUAUUAAAUAACAAAAAACUACAUUUAUUCACAGUAGAAUUAUUGGCUGAGCAGGAGUCCCUGGUGGUGCUACUGGACUGGAUGGGAUGCCACAAUAAAGACCCUGGAGUCUUCCGUC